rnacentral:rRNA from 1 species
UACGUAGGGUGCGAGCGUUAAUCGGAAUUACUGGGCGUAAAGUGUGCGCAGGCGGCCGCGCAAGUCGAGUGUGAAAGCCCCGAGCUUAACUUGGGAAUUGCGCUCGAAACUACGUGGCUGGAGUGUGGCAGAGGAAGGUGGAAUUCCACGUGUAGCGGUGAAAUGCGUAGAGAUCAUGAGGAAGACCAGUGGCGAAGGCGGGUCUCUGGACAGUUCCUGACGCUGAGGCACGAAGGUCAGGGGAGCAAACGGG